rnacentral:snRNA from 1 species
ACUCAUACCUUGCAGGGGAAAUACCAUGUCAUAAAAGUGGUUUUUUUCCAGGGGGAGGCUCAUCUGUUGCACUUUAGGUAUGCUGCUGAUCCCUGUGAUUUCCCCAAAUGUGGGGAGCUCAGCUACAUAAUUUGUGUUAAUGGGGGAUUGUGUUUGUGAUUUCCCUGG